rnacentral:sRNA from 1 species
GAGGGUGCACAAGCAGGUGUGUGCAUGUACAUGUGUGUAUGCUCACAGAAGACAGAAGAGGGCAUCUGACUUCUUGGCACAGAAGUUACAGGCUGUUAUGAGACAGUCAUUAGGGAUGCUCACCCUGGAAUCUGAACUCUGGGUCUCAUGAUUGAGCAGCAAAGCUCCUAGCCAAGGAGUCGUCUCUCCUGACCCAGGGUAGCUUUUACUGAGUGUGUUCUAGUCAAUACCCAAUUGCUUUUGUUUGUUGUGCUUUUCAUUUUAUUUGAAUGUUAACAUCUUCUCCAGCAUUUGUAAAGUUUCUGCUAUUUUCUUCAAGGAAGCUCUCUAGCCUUUCUUCUACCUACUUUCCCUUCUGAUGCUCUCACAGUUUGUAGACUGUCUGGUUGAUGGUGUUCCCAUGAGGUCUUAAACUAUCUUUUAUUGGUUGUCUUUUUGCUUGUUUGUUACAGACAGAAGCCUGCAUAGGCCAGGGUGUCCACUAAUAUCUUACACAGUUAAGGAUAACCUUGAACUCCUGUUCUUUGUUUUUUCCAUCAGGAAUGGCUUUUUAUCCUGAUUUUUUUUCCUUUUUGUUUUCCUGAGUCAUUUCAGAUUAACUGCCUUUGAGUUCAUUUAUUAUUUAUUUCUUCUUCAUCAAGUUAGUGGUUGAAACUCUUUAAUGUGUCUUUUUCAUUAUUUUUCUGUCAUUGAUUAGAAAAUUACCUAGAGUAUGAAUUACUUCUGGUCACCAGGACAAAAGUACCCAACAGAAACAACAUAGGGGAAUAAGAAUUAAUUUUGGCUUAUGGUUUCAGAGCUUUUCAGUCCAGGAUCAUCUGGCUUCUAUUUCUGGGCCAUUGUGAGGCAGUGGUGGGAGGCUGUGGUGGAGCCCCCUUGAAGCUCCUGGAGGAAAUGGUCAGAGGGAAUUCUUACACUGAGCUGGCCUUUUUACCCCUUUCCCACAAAUAUUUCUUUUACUUAUGCACUCAGCUCAUGGAAUAGUGUGGUUCACACUCAGGCUUGAUUUUUCCAUGCUGAGUUAAUCUCCCGUGGAAGUUUCCUCACAGACACACCACAGGUAUGCCUCCUCCAUUUUCUAGAUGAUUCCAAAUCCAGUCUAAUUGUCUGUGACACUUAAUCAUCACAGAGACUGAAUGACUGAAUGUAAUCCACAGUCAGGACAAACCCAGUAGGAAUCACCCAGCACUGCCGGGUCAUGUUUCCCUAAGGAGGCAUCUAUUAGCAUCCUGAAGUCCUUUGGUGUGGUAGGAGUAUUCGUGAAGUGUAUUCCCUCAUGAUCUGUAUAUAUUUUUCAUAAGGUCUACCAGAUGUCUGCCAUGAGUUUUCAGCACAUGGAAGGCACUGGACAGGCAUUCCUGAUGAAUUCAUUAUCCCAUGGAUUCUCACAAUUACCCUUUAGGAUAAAGUGAGCUGAGUGCCAGCUGUCAUCUGCUUCCUGACUACAGAUGCAACGUGACCAGCUGCCUCAUGCUCUUGUUGUCAUUCCUGCACCACCAUGACAGUUUGGAUCCCUCAAACCGAGUGGACCAGUACUCAAAAUCUUAGGCAAGAAGAAAGACGGCUUCUAUCUACACUGAUGAUUAUGACCUGGUAGGAACUUAAUAGAGGGGGCUAAAAAGAUCAGAUGAUCCUCUGCAGGGUUCUUGUACUUUGAAUGUCUCUCAGAGAAUAAUAGAACAAUGGCCAUUUCCUUAUCCAGUGCUAGACACCUAAGCACUAUGCAUUGACUCUUGUAAUAAUCCCAUAAGGUAAAGAUUGCCUCACAUCAGAGUGUAGCUGCAGUUGAUAGAGCUUGCUGCCCUCCCAUAGAUCUUGCAAGAGAUAAAUGGCAUUGCAAAUAUUCUUACUUGUAUUGUCAUUGUUAAAGAUGAACCAUCAUUGGUCACUGGAAAAAUGGCCUGUGCUUCUUCAUAGCAGAAUCAUCAAUCAGUAUUGUUGGUUAAACAACUUAUACAUGCUUGUGCUGACUAUUUUUAACUAUCAAAUAACAUAACCUAGAGUCACCUGGGAAGAAAGUCUUAACGAGGAAUCACAUAGGUCAGAUUUGCCUGUAAGGGAUUGUCUUGAUUGUUAAUUGAUGUAGAUUCAGUCCAUUGUGGGCAGCAACAUUCCAUAGGAAAGAUUUCCUGAACAAUAUAAGAGGGGAGAAAGCUAGCUAAGAGCAUUUGUUCUCCCUGCUGAUGACUGGAUGUGACACUUAAAAAUUCCUGCCUUGACUUCCCUGAAAUAAUAGACUGUGACCUGGAAUUAUGAAGCAAUUAACCCCUUUCUUCCCUACACCAAUGAAACCAGGACAAUGUCUUUUACGGUUUCCAAUGCACUAUGAAUCCACUUCAAUUCAAUAGCUAUUUAACACUAUCUUCAGGGCACUGAUACAGGGGCAUAGCCCCCCUCUGGUGGGUUUCUGUCUUUGGGGAAAAGUAAUUAAAGAUGUUGAUCAGGGAACUUCAGCAAGAGGCAUGUGAGUAGAUCCAAAGGAGUCUGAAAGAAUUAUUGGAACCUCUGCUCUGGGAUGCUGGGAGAGAGAGCAAAGGUCAGCUGUCUUAUCAAUCUUUUUGAAGAUGUGGUAUUGAGGGUGGACCUUAUAUCAAGUUUUUUAUUAAGUCUCUAAAUGAAUAUUUGCACAAUAUCCAAAACAUAUAAAGAGCCAGACUAAACAUUUACUAUCCAUAAACCAGUCAAAGACAUUAUGGUUUCAGUUUGAAGUAAGUUUUUACAAUAAUUUCUACCUACUUAUAAGUAUAUUCAUUCUUUUACUUAU